AACUUUUGACAACGGAUCUCUUGGCUCUCGCAUCGAUGAAGAACGCAGCGAAAUGCGAUAAGUAAUGUGAAUUUCAGAAUUCAGUGAAUCAUCGAAUCUUUCAACGCAGCUUGCACCCUUUGGAAUUCCGAAGGGUAUGCCCGUUUGAGUAUCAUUGUACUCUCACACUCCUCUGAUCCUUUGGAUUCGUGGAGCGGUGGACUUGGGUGUUUGCUGCUCUCCUUGUGGCUCACCUAAAAUGCGUCAGUGCGCCUCUUGGUUGGACAUAGUACGGCGUGAUAAGUGUCUUCGCCGACACCUAGCAAGAGGGUGUCCGAUCGAGAACUCUGUGCUUUCAAACCGUCUUAGAACACUUUCUGACAACUUGACCUCAAAUCGAGUAGGACUACCCGCUGAACUUAAGCAUAUCAAUAAGCGGAGGCU
rnacentral:misc_RNA from 1 species